UUCAUGACAAUAUUUGAAGAUUGUGUAAAACUUUGAGGGGCUCUGAAAACUUUUUUCCACUGCUGUAUUUUGACAGUUCUUAGCAC